rnacentral:tRNA from 1 species
UGCCCCAUGGCUGAGUUGGUUACAGCGUCCGACUGUUAUCGCACUGAUCACUAUCGGAAGGUCGAGAGUUCGAGCCUCUCUGGGGCAG